UACGUAGGGUGCAAGCGUUAAUCGGAAUUACUGGGCGUAAAGAGUGCGUAGGCGGGCAGAUAAGUCAGUGGUGAAAUCUCUGGGCUUAACCCAGAAACUGCCGUUGAUACUAUUUGUCUUGAAUAUCAUGGAGGUAAGCGGAAUAUGUCAUGUAGCGGUGAAAUGCUUAGAUAUGACAUAGAACACCGAUAGCGAAGGCAGCUUACUACAUGUUAAUUGACGCUGAGGCACGAAAGCGUGGGGGAGCAAACAGG
rnacentral:rRNA from 1 species